rnacentral:rRNA from 1 species
UACGUAGGGUGCAAGCGUUGUCCGGAAUUAUUGGGCGUAAAGAGCUCGUAGGCGGUCUGUCGCGUCUGCUGUGAAAACUCAGGGCUUAACCCUGAGCUUGCAGUGGGUACGGGCAGACUAGAGUGCGGUAGGGGAGACUGGAAUUCCUGGUGUAGCGGUGAAAUGCGCAGAUAUCAGGAGGAACACCGGUGGCGAAGGCGGGGUCUCUGGGCCGUAACUGACGCUGGAGGAAGCGAAAGCAUGGGGAGCGAACAGG